GAUGAACCACUUCGGUGGGGAUUAGUGGCGAACGGGUGAGUAACACGUGGGCAAUCUGCCCUUCACUCUGGGACAAGCCCUGGAAACGGGGUCUAAUACCGGAUAUCACUCCCGCAGGCAUCUGCGGGUGUCGAAAGCUCCGGCGGUGAAGGAUGAGCCCGCGGCCUAUCAGCUUGUUGGUGAGGUAAUGGCUCACCAAGGCGACGACGGGUAGCCGGCCUGAGAGGGCGACCGGCCACACUGGGACUGAGACACGGCCCAGACUCCUACGGGAGGCAGCAGUGGGGAAUAUUGCACAAUGGGCGAAAGCCUGAUGCAGCGACGCCGCGUGAGGGAUGACGGCCUUCGGGUUGUAAACCUCUUUCAGCAGGGAAGAAGCGAAAGUGACGGUACCUGCAGAAGAAGCGCCGGCUAACUACGUGCCAGCAGCCGCGGUAAUACGUAGGGCGCAAGCGUUGUCCGGAAUUAUUGGGCGUAAAGAGCUCGUAGGCGGCUUGUCACGUCGGGUGUGA
rnacentral:rRNA from 1 species